AGCGGAUUAGCGGCGGACGGGUGAGUAACACGUGAGUAACCUGCCUUAGACAUUGGGAUAGCCUCGGGAAACCGGGAUUAAUACCAAAUAAAAUCAUAAUGACACAUGUCAUAACGAUCAAAACUCCGGUGGUCCAAGAUGGACUCGCGUCCCAUUAGCUAGUUGGUAGAGUAAAAGCCUACCAAGGCGACGAUGGGUAGCCGGCCUGAGAGGGUGAACGGCCACAUUGGAACUGAGAAACGGUCCAA
rnacentral:rRNA from 1 species